rnacentral:rRNA from 1 species
UAGGUAACAAAACAGAUCGUGCCCAGCAUACCUAAAUAAAGGACUGAGCCUAAUGAAAACUGUUUUUAUGCCUUCGGUUGGGGCGACCAUGGAGUAAUAAAAAUCCUCCAAGUGAGAGGGAGCACUUCACCCUUUUCUACCUCUACAUCCACCCUUAUCUAUCCCUCCUAAAACCAAGAGCUACGACUCUAACUAGCAGAAAUUCUGACCUAAAUUGAUCCGGCUAUGCCGAUUAACGGACCAAGUUACCCCAGGGAUAACAGCGCAAUCCUCUUCUAGAGCCCAUAUCGACAAGAGGGUUUACGACCUCGAUGUUGGAUCAGGACAUCCUAAUGGUGCAACCGCUAUUAAG